rnacentral:rRNA from 1 species
UGAGUAACACGUGAGUGACCUGCCUUUUAGACUGGAACAACUUACCGAAAGGUGAGCUAAUGCCGGAUGAGUUAUAUAAGUGCAUGUUUAUAUAGGAAAAGUUGGGGAGACCUGACGCUGAAAGAUGGACUCGCGUCCCAUUAGCUAGUUGGUAGGGUAAUGGCCUACCAAGGCGACGACGGGUAGCCGGCCUGAGAGGGUGGCCGGCCACACUGGGACUGAGACACGGCCCAGACUCCUACGGAAGGCAGCAG